AGUAAGUACAGACAUCAGAAAUUUAAAUUCUAAGAAAAUUCCUUGGAAUGCUGAUAUCUAAAGGAAUGAAGUUUUCAUUUGAACUGAAGGCCAAAGCAAGUGAUUAAGAACAUCAGAAAGAGCUGAUACCAGCUGGAGAGCAAUGAGAAUAAUAUGGAUUUAUUGUCACGACAAAAUUGUUUCAUGUGUUGUUGUGUCUUAUGUGUUGUGUCUCAUGUGUCGUGCUGUAUGUUUGUUGUUUUGUGUCGUUUGUCUCAAUGCUAGCAUUAUUGGGUAUUGUCUUGGGAAAAGAGGAGGUACUGUAGUAAGCAGGAAAAUCGAUGACUCUCUAAUCAGACCUCGUCCUCUCCCUACCCCUCCGUCUCCUGUCACCACCGAAAGAGCAAGGAUCAGGCGGUGGCAUGGUUGUUGGGGCAAACUUGCUGGGUUUGGCAAGCUGAAACUAUAUGCUGCUAAUCCUGCGCCCAUGGAUAGCGGAAGCGUUUGAAGGUCAACGUGUCAUUAUUUAAACAAGAAGAAAUGUAAAAACAAUUGCUGCUCUGCAUCUGAGAUUGGCUUGACCUGUCCUCCCACAGCUCCAACACCGUCUGGGGCAAGAACCACGUCCCUGCAUUAUCAGCCAUCUACUGACCGGGUGAUUGGACCUCCGACUGUAACUCUGGAGUUACAGGCUGCAUUUGGGGCCACCCGGAGCAGAGCUUGUCAGCAUCGAUUUGGGAAUGCGAAAUGAGGGCAUCCACGUCCCUGGCGGAGCCGGUAACCUUACCUUGGAAUUCAGCCUCUCAGUCUGAAAUAACAAGAACCCGACAUUACGGGCAGAAGAUACCGAAUCUGUCACCGAAGUAGUAAUUGUAAUUGGUCCGGGACUGUAUAUGGGACUUAUAAAUAUUUGGAGAUAAAUGGACUUCAGCUUAAAUUCAUGAUUAUAAUCACAGGUGUUAAUGGCUUACUUGAUGGUAACAAAAAGCCAGAGAGGGUAUUGCAUUUGGG